AGUCACUGACAUUAGAUACCCCGGUAGUCCCAGCCGUAAACAAUGUGCGUUAGGUGUGUCGGUAACCACGCGUUACUGAUGCGCCGAAGAGAAAUCGUGAAACGCACCACCUGGGAAGUACGGUCGCAAGGCUGAAACUUAAAGGAAUUGGCGGGGAGCACCACAACAGGUGGAGCCUGCGGUUUAAUUGGAUUCAACGCCGGACAUCUCACCGGAUAAGACAGCUGAAUGAUCGUCAAUCUGAAGGUUUUACAUGACUAGCUG
rnacentral:rRNA from 1 species